GGCUUUGUAGUACAAUGGAUAGUAUUUGGGUUUCCGAAGCCUGCGAUCUAGGUUCGAUUCCUAGCAGAGCCA
rnacentral:tRNA from 1 species